rnacentral:rRNA from 1 species
CCUACGGGAGGCAGCAGUGGGGAAUAUUGGGCAAUGGAGGCAACUCUGACCCAGCAACGCCGCGUGAGCGAUGAAGGUCUUCGGAUUGUAAAGCUCUGUCGCAGGGGACGAAGUAUGACGGUACCCUGUAAGAAAGCCCCGGCCAACUACGUGCCAGCAGCCGCGGUAAUACGUAGGGGGCUAGCGUUGUCCGGAUUUACUGGGUGUAAAGGGAGCGUAGACGGCCAGACAAGUCAGAAGUGAAAGCCCAGGGCUCAACCCUGGGACUGCUUUUGAAACUGCCGGGCUGGAGUGCAGGAGAGGUAAGCGGAAUUCCGAGUGUAGCGGUGAAAUGCGUAGAGAUUAGGAGGAACACCAGUGGCGAAGGCGGCUUACUGGACUGUAACUGACGUUGAGGCUCGAAAGCGUGGGGAGCAAACAGGAUUAGAUACCCUUGUAGUC